AUUGAACGCUGGCGGCAGGCCUAACACAUGCAAGUCGAGCGGAGCGGCGGACGGGUGAGUCAUGCCUAGGAAUCUGCCUGUUCGUGGGGGAUCCCGUCCGGAACCGGGCGCUAAUACCGCAUACUAUCAGAUUAGCCUAUGUCGGCUUCUCUAGUUGGUGGGGUAAAGGCCUACAAAGGCGACAAUCCGUAACUGGUCUGAGAGGAUGAUCAGUCACACUGGAACUGAGACACGGUCCAGACGCCUACGGGAGGCAGCAGUGGGGAAUAUUGGACAAUGGGCGAAAGCCUGAUCCAGCCAUGCCGCGUGUGUGAAGUAGGUCUUCGGAUUGUAAAGCACUUUAAGUUGGGAGGCGUUACCAACAGAAUAAGCACCGGCUAACUUCGUGCCAGCAGCCGCGGUAAUUC
rnacentral:rRNA from 1 species